CAAAUUUAGUGUAAAUAAAGUUAUUUUUACAUUUUAAUUUUUAUUUGCAUUUCUAGCAAAAAAGUACUAGUUUUCAAAUAUGGGAUUAGUUAUCACAAAAGCGCUCUGUUUCAAACAGAAUUCCAUUACGCUACCUAUGAAGUCCAUUACGCUGCCUGCCUAAGCUUUCGGAAGCAGCCAUACAAAUGGCUUUCGUGGCCCAAGCUUAAAGGGACACUCCACUUUUUUGAAUGUUAAAGACUAUGUUUUACACUACCUGACUCCUGAGGCUCUUCCUGCUGCUCUAUUCCCCUAAACCACUCAUGGUCUAUAACCUGCUGUACAGACGGUCUCAACAUUCUGUUGCGGUUCAGGCACUGAGUUAAUAAAUCGACGCAUUCUGUACAGGUUUGGACAAGAGAUCUGCCCUCUUCAUUGGGGUGGUAUCCAUGCAACAUUUCAUACAGGACGGUGCCGAGAUCCCACACCGUUGUUAAUUCAGCCAGAUAUCGGCACCUCUUUGAAAACUCAAACGGUUGUUCAAAUUGAUGUCCUGGUGAAACACACCCCGUUCAAGGCAGUGUUUCGCCCCACGCAGUGCUUGGAUUAUUAAAUCCCGUGCCACUGCUUCAGUGAGACGACCCCCGUUGCGCGUCAUGAAACUACUUAGGGUCUCGCAGGGGUGUGGAUGUUCUAACACCAGUAUGCGUCUCUUGGGCUCAUCGUACCACUGGUACAUUGGCAGAACGUAGGGACAUCUUGGAUGCUUUGACAGCAAAACAUUGAGCCCAAUUUCUGUAACGAGGGGCUCAGGAUAACCAGGCUGCAGAAAAGUGUUCAACAAAAGAUUAGCUGACAAUAGAUGCUGUCACUGACCUGUUGAGCUCACAGCAUGAGUUUGAGGACAAGCCUCGUGCGGGCUCCCCGAACCAGCUGCCUGCGGUGAGAUGCUCAACCUGAGCUGUGCACCGCCAACCUGCUGGCUGCUGGUCAUGGGCUCCUCCGCCUCCUGCACCAGAUCGAACAUGGUGCUUAUGGUGCUCAUUUCAAACCAUCGGUCUGUGAAGACUUCGGUCACUGUAUGGGUGAUAAUCAUAAAAAAAUUACAUUAAAAUCAUUAAAUAAAACGUAUGCUUUCUAAUGAAAAAAUGCAUAUGUUGGCGCGAAUAUAUUUUCUAAAAAGAAACAUUUAGGCAUACAACUUCUCGCUGCAAAUCAAAAGAUGACAGGGCUUUUUCUGUGCCGCCCCAAAAACUCUGGAACAGUUUACCUUUGGGUAUUAGGACCUCUCUAACACUUGGUGUUUUUAAAACUAGUUUAAAGACUUACUUUUACACCUUAGCAUUCGAAUGAUGUUUGGGUAUGUAUGUGUAGUUGUGUAGGGGUGCAGGGGUGUGUAUAUGUAUUUGUGUGUGUAUAUGCACCUAAUUGUGGCAUGUACAGAUCUCUUUAUAAUUGGCACUUCCAACUAUGUAUUUGUCUGAUUGUUUUGAUAUUUGAUUUUAUCCUCAUUCUUGUUUUCUCUUCCUUUCUAUUUCUUUUAUUUUUAACUGUUUUAUUGUAAAGCACUUACACAUUGGAUCAACUACAGUUGUGUUAAAUCUGUGCUAUAUCAAUAAACUUUGACUUGACUUGACGUGACAAUUAAAAGAUUUUAAAAUCAUCAGAAUCAUUUUAGUUAAGUGUUUCUAUCUAAACUGUUAAAGAGUUCUGUGGAUUGUAUUUCUAUUUAAUAAUUGUUAACACUUGUGUCUUAUUUUCAUUUCACUGUGAUGCUGUCACUGACCUGUUGAGCUCACAGGGUGGUUUAUUUGAGGACAAGCCUCGUGCGGAUCGGUGGUCCCCGAACCAGCCGCCUGAGGUGAGAUGUACAACCUUCGCUGUACACCACCAACCUGCUGGCUGCUGGACGAGGGCUCCACUGUCUCCUGCACCUGAUCCACGGUGGUGCUCAUUUUUGACUGUCGGUCUGUGAAGACUGACGUCACUGUGUGAAUAAUAAUAAUUUAUUUUAGUUUGCUAAUACAAGAAAUUGGCACAAUUAUAUAUUUGUCCAAUUAAAGUAAUUUCAUAUAUUUGAGUAUAGUGUGAAUACAGCUGAAAUUCGCCCACUGUCUAAAACCCUAUUAAACUAAGAGGGUAAAACAUCCAA